rnacentral:rRNA from 1 species
UACGUAGGGGGCAAGCGUUGUCCGGAUUUAUUGGGCGUAAAGCGCGUGUAGGCGGCCAGAUAGGUCCGCUGUGAAAACUCGAGGCUUAACCUCGAGAGGUCGGCGGAAACCAUCUGGCUAGAGUCCGGAAGAGGAGAGUGGAAUUCCCGGUGUAGCGGUGAAAUGCGUAGAUAUCGAGAGGAACACCUGCGGCGAAGGCGGGUUGCUGGCCGACACUGACGCUGAUGCGCGAAAGCCAGGGGAGCGAACGGG